AACGAACGCUGGCGGCAUGCCUAACACAUGCAAGUCGAACGAGACCUUCGGGUCUAGUGGCGCACGGGUGCGUAACGCGUGGGAAUCUGCCCCUUGGUUCGGAAUAACAGCGAGAAAUUGCUGCUAAUACCGGAUAAUGACGUAAGUCCAAAGAUUUAUCGCCAAGGGAUGAGCCCGCGUAGGAUUAGCUAGUUGGUGUGGUAAAGGCGCACCAAGGCGACGAUCCUUAGCUGGUCUGAGAGGAUGAUCAGCCACACUGGGACUGAGACACGGCCCAGACUCCUACGGGAGGCAGCAGUGGGGAAUUUUGGACAAUGGGCGCAAGCCUGAUCCAGCAAUGCCGCGUGCAGGAUGAAGGCC
rnacentral:rRNA from 1 species